GUACAACUUUGGUCAUACAUAUUCUAAAAUUGGAACGAUAUAGCGAAGAUUUACAUGGCCCCUGCGCAAGGAUGACAAGUAAAAUCAUGAAGCGUUCUAUAUUUUU
rnacentral:snRNA from 1 species